ensembl:misc_RNA Metazoa_SRP Metazoan signal recognition particle RNA
GCCAGGUGUGGUGGCGCUCGCCUGUAGUCCCAGCUACUCAGGAGGCUGAGGUGGGAGGAUCCCUUGAACCCAGGAGGUCAAGGCUGCAGUGAACCAAGAUCGCACCACUGCACUCCAGCCUGGGUAACAAAGUGAGACCUUGUUUCCA